rfam:Streptococcus cuniculi strain NED12-00049-6B 1, whole genome shotgun sequence.
UGAGAAAAGCAGAAGUGAGAGCUUCUCGCCUUGCGACUAACGUUGUCUGGCUCUACGUGUUAAAUUUUCUUCGGAAAGAUAAUGAUGUAGUGGUGGACUUGUGUUAGCAAGUCCACUUUGUUUUUCUCGA